UGGAAGGAGAGGAGAAAGCGAGAAGAGAGGAGAGCGAGCACUGUGCGUGCUCGUUUCCCAAAUCUUGCUUCUCAGCGAGCACGCGCCGAGCUGCGGCAGCCCCGAGCAACUCGAAAGCGCCAGGGUCGGCAAGCAGCCCGGCUCCCAGUCUGGUCUCGGCCUCCGGCGGCGGCUCGCUCCCCGCCACUCGCUCUCCCCCUCUCUCCCUCCCAGCCAGCCAGCCAGCCGGGGCGCGCGCUCCCGCGCCCCCUCCCCCUGCCGUCGCGCCCCCCCCCCCACCUCCCGCGAGCAGGAAACGCGUGGCCCCGAGGAGGGCGACCAGGUGGGGGAGGCCAUGCUGGGGGAGGGGGCCAUGCAGCCAGCAGCAGUCUACCUAACUGCUGCCGCGGACGCUAGUGACGCGCUCUUGGCCCAGCCUGCUCCCCGGAUUCUUAGGCUGGGGGUCAUCUGGGACCAGGGGACCCACAAAACAACCGGCGUCUGCGAGCCUCCCUGGGGCUCCCGAAAGAAAUCCUGUUUGGCUUCCUCUGUCUAUGCAGCUCCCCUCUCAACUGAAACCACUGGUCCAAGACAGCCACAAUCCAGAUAUACUAGCAAGUCAUAAAACUGAACAAAAGCCGACAAACCUUACGGCACCAGGGCUAUAGGGCCCAGACAAAUUACGACCGUCUAGGUUUGACCCUUUUAUGCAUGUAACUUCACAGUAUAAAGGAAACCCAAACAAAGUCUCCCUUCUCUAGUCUAUUCCGCUUGCCCCAGCCCUCCUUGGGUUCUAUGAAUUUUAGAAAGGAAAAAGAAAGAGGAAGAAGAAAAAAGAAAAUGAGAAAGAAAACUCUCCACAAGACAGGGAGAAUUGCGGUGUGCUUGUCGUGUGUUACCAGUGGUAACAAUUACUUAAUGA